rnacentral:rRNA from 1 species
GGGAACCCUGAUGCAGCGACGCCGCGUGAGUGAAGAAGUAUUUCGGUAUGUAAAGCUCUAUCAGCAGGGAAGAAGAUGACGGUACCUGAGUAAGAAGCCCCGGCUAACUACGUGCCAGCAGCCGCGGUAAUACGUAGGGGGCAAGCGUUAUCCGGAUUUACUGGGUGUAAAGGGAGCGCAGACGGCAGCGUAAGUCUGAAGUGAAAGCCCGCGGCUUAACCGCGGGACUGCUUUGGAAACUACGCGGCUUGAGUGUCGGAGGGGCAGGCGGAAUUCCUGGUGUAGCGGUGAAAUGCGUAGAUAUCAGGAAGAACACCGGUGGCGAAGGCGGCCUGCUGGACGACAACUGACGUUGAGGCUCGAAGGCGUGGGGAGCGAACAGGAUUAGAUACCCUGGUAGUCCACGCGGUAAACGAUGAAUACUAGGUGUCGGCGCCCAAAGGGAGUCGGUGCCGUCGCAAACGCAGUAAGUAUUCCACCUGGGGGAGUACGUUCGCAAGAAUGAAACUCAAAGGAAUUGACGGGGACCCGCACAAGCAGUGGAGCAUGUGGUUUAAUUCGAGCAACGCGAAGAAC